AUUGAACGCUGGCGGCAUGCCUUACACAUGCAAGUCGAACGGCAGCACGGGAGCAAUCCUGGUGGCGAGUGGCGAACGGGUGAGUAAAGUAUCGGAACGUGCCCAGUCGUGGGGGAUAACGUAGCGAAAGUUACGCUAAUACCGCAUACGAUCUAUGAAUGAAAGCGGGGGAUCGCAAGACCUCGCGCGAUUGGAGCGGCCGAUAUCAGAUUAGGUAGUUGGUGGGGUAAAGGCUCACCAAGCCGACGAUCUGUAGCUGGUCUGAGAGGACGACCAGCCACACUGGGACUGAGACACGGCCCAGACUCCUACGGGAGGCAGCAGUGGGGAAUUUUGGACAAUGGGCAAAAGCCUGAUCCAGCCAUGCCGCGUGCAGGAUGAAGGCCUUCGGGUUGUAAACUGCUUUUGUACGGAACGAAAAGGUUUGGGCUAAUAAGCUGAGCUCAUGACGGUACCGUAAGAAUAAGCACCGGCUAACUACGUGCCAGCCGCCGCCGUAA
rnacentral:rRNA from 1 species